GCCUGCACCGAUGAUUAGGAUCACAUAGAGCAUGGACUCCCCAGCCCCUCUCCAUUGCACCACACCAUCCCUUUAUCCUGUACCAAUGACAGAGGGCACCACCUUAUUUUGGGACUAUUCCCAAAAGAAGCAAUUGGGGUUGGUAGGAUGGCCUUUCGUCUCUACAGAUGGGAUAGACGGGUACAACCAAAGGCAAUGGGGGAUGGGGUCAAUUUAGGCUCUGAGUCAGGAAAAUUUCCCGAAUGAGGCGGUCCUGAGGUAGAAGAGUCACCUCCAAAGCAGCAGCUCAUCCCCCUGGAGGCACUGAAGAAGCAGACACUGGGUGCUGGUAGUUAAGAAAAAAAAAAGACAGAGCUUAUCCUACGUUCACCUUCUGGAUACCUCCUGGACUCCAACUGGGAACAACCACACCAGCAAAGGCUGAACACUCCCAGUCCUUCAACUGCUCCUCCUCCAAUCAGAUCACUUCCAGAUCUGGAGAAAAAUUUGCUGCCUGUGGCCCAGCCUCCUGGAUGGGCUGGAAUAACUGCAUGAGAGACAAGUAGCAAUCACAUGAGAAGAUGACGUGGCACAACAAUAAAGCAGUGAUAGCUACCAUUUCUAGAACUCUUUAAGGUUUUCAAACCACCUUCUAUGCCUCAUCUCACUUUAUCCUCACAAUGACCUUGGGAGGU